ACGAGCGCACCCCUGUCGUUAGUUGCCAGCGGGUCAUGCCGGGGACUCUAACGAGACUGCCGGUGUCAAACCGGAGGAAGGUGGGGAUGACGUCAAGUCCUCAUGGCCUUUAUGUCCAGGGAUGCACACGUGCUACAAUGGCGCGUACAAAGCGAUGCAAUGCCGCGAGGCGGAGCAAAUCGCAAAAAGCAUGCCCCAGUUCAGAUUGCAGGCUGCAACUCGACUGCAUGAAGUCGGAAUCGCUAGUAAUCGGAGAUCAGCUACGCUCCGGUGAAUACGUUC
rnacentral:rRNA from 1 species